rnacentral:lncRNA from 1 species
AUUCCCCCAUCGUCUUACUUCCAUUAGGCUUUUGUUCUCACCAGUCCCCUGAAUUCACACUUGUGAAGGUAACCAAGUGACUUCUAACCUGCCAAAUCCACAGUUAAGUCUCAGUUCUACUCUAAUUGAACCACUCAGCAGCAUUUGACAGUUAAUCAACUGGAAACCCUUUCUUCUCUUGGUUUUCAGGAUACCUUCUCCUAGUUUCUCCAGCUUUGCCAAAUGCCCUCAUUUACAGCUCUGCUUCUGACCUCUAAAUAACAGAAUGCCCGAGGUUCACCCUUUUGACACCUUUGUGUAUAUCCAUUCUACAUAUACUCCUCUCAAAGAAUGACAUGGAGGCAAUUAAUUAUGUGCCAGCAGAUUUACUCAUAUGAAGGAGAGAAUCAGUAGGUGAUUGUCAGCAGUCCUGAGCCAUGACGGGAACUCCAGUUUGGGAAUAUUCUUGGCUGUUAAUUCUUCAAAUAUUGCUGGUGCUCUGUUCUCCCUUUUCCUUCUGGUAUUCCAGUGACAUUUGUGUUUAAGCCAUUUGCUCUUGCCUCAAAAUUUCUUCAAUGCUCAGUUCUAGGUGUAUUUUUUUCCCACUCUUUUUCUCCUUGUGUUUCCAUUUCGGUAAUUUCUAUUGACUAAUUUUCAACUUCAUUCAUUUUUUUUCCUGGCUGCAUCAAGUCUACUAGUGAGUCUGUUAGUGGCAUUCUUCUCUACUACUGAAACUUUCACUUAAUAGCAUUUUUAUUUUAAUCUUCCUCAUGGUCACCAUCUCUCUGCUAAAAUCAUCCAUCAGACCUGGCAUGUUAUCUAAAUAGAGAAAAAGACUGAAAAUGGGCAGAGAUUCCCCCAAUUUUUGCAGCCUCCAAGAGCUUUACUCUGCCCUGCUAGGCUGUACUUGGUCUUCAUCAAGUCAUCAACUGGAUUCUUAACUCUUCUAACCGGUUGCAUCUGACCCAGGUAGGAAGCGCUCAAGUCUUCUCUCUUACUACAGGUGAUUGUCUCUUAGAUCUUUGGCCAGUUGUUUGCUUUGCAACCUCAACUCUCUGAUAAUGCAGCUGGCAUCAUUACACCCCCAGGAGAAAUUCCACACCCUGAUCUCCUGUGCUGUGAAUGUGAUGAGAUAACCCAUUCUUGAGUAUAUUACCUUCCUUGAGAUUUUGCAGAUUAAUUAAGGUUACCAAUCAGUUGACCUUAUGAUAGGGAGAUUAUCCUUAAUUGUUUGGAAUGGCCAAAUGUAAUCAUAUAAGCCCUUUAAAAGCAGGUAACUUUUUCUCCGGCUGGUGGCAGAAAAAAGAUUUGCAGCAUGACAGGGACUCUUUAGUUUGUUACUGGUUCGGAGAUAAAAGGGAGCCAUGUGAGAAGGAACGUGGUCGGCCUCUUGAAACAGAGAACAUUACACUGAUAGCCAGCAAGAAAAUUCAGAUUUCAGACCUACUAUCACAGGGAACUGAAUUCAGGCAACAAUCUGAAUGAGCUUGGACAUGGAUUCUUCACUAGAGCUUCCAGAAAGUAAUGUAAUCCUGCCAAAAAUCUUGUUUUCUGCCCUAAUCAGACAACCCAGCUAAGCUAUGCCCAGCCUUCUGAACUAGAGUAAUUGUGAAAUGAUCUUUUUUUUUUUUAAGCCCCUAAAUUUAUGGCAAUUGUUGUGUGGCAGCAAAAGAUGAGUUCAAGGGGAAAAAUCGUGAAUUUGAAGUUAGCUUCAUUCUUUUUCAUUGUAAAGGUAGGAGCAGUGCACUUUCUGGCUUUCUGCACUCCAGGAAAGAAACUGAAAGUCCAUGCCCCCAAUCUUCUAUUUUGACUUGGAAAGCCCUGGGUGGAAGGUACCUACUUUUGGAAACUGUUUAGUAAGUCAUGGGGUCAGAUAGUGAGUGGAACUGGAUAUAAAGAUUGGAGGAAUUUAAGCAUAUUUAUUCUAGGAAGUGUGUACUCAUGGGCAUAUGUUUUAGAGCUUAAGAAUUUGUGUGUGUGUGUGUGUGUGGCCUUUGUUUGUUCGUUGCUUUUUAGGGCCACACCCCCGGCAUAUAGAAUUUCCCAGGCUAGGUGUCAAUUCGGAGCUACAGCUACUAGCCUACACCGCAGCCUCAGCAACUCGGGCUCCCAGCCGCAUCUGUGACCUACACCACAGCUCAAGGCAACGCCGGAUCCCUGACACACUGAGGGAGGCCAGGGAUGGAACCCGCAUCCUCAUGGAUACUAGUUGGGUUCGUUUCCACUGAGCCACAAUGAGAACUCCUGGUAUAGUUUUAAGACUGAUUUUCCUUGAUGUCUCUUAAUAUAUUCAUUUUCCAAGUUGUUUAUUACAGAGAAAUUAUCCAGUGGUAUCCUUGGCUGGGAAUAGAGUUUGCAUCUAUCAGGAGUAGGACUGUGUACAUGAGUAGUUAACAGUAUUCAUUACAACUAUUCAAUUUAUCUUACCAGGAUUUGGGGAUGAUGUUGAUAAUAAAGUUUUCUUUUAAUGACAGCGCCAUGUGUAAUUUAUAGUUUUUGAAGUAUUUUACCUGUACUGUAAAGUUUUUGUUUGUUUAUCCAUACAGAGUAUUGAAGAUAUUCGCUAAGGGAAAAAUAAAAAUCCAUAAGCUGUUUCGUGACUGUUAAAGCAUUUGCUUUUUUUUUUCUUUUUUUGGCCACACCUGAGGCACAUGGAAGUUACCAGGGCCAGAGAUGGAAUCCAAGCCACGGCUUCGACCCAAGCCACUGAAGUCAGAUUCUUAACCUACUCUGCCACAAUGGGAACUCCAGCAUUUGCCUUUUAUUAGAGAAAAUCCUGAUCCAACCAGAAGAUGUAUAAACUAUUAUUAAACAUAUUUUAAGUUUUGAAAUAACCGAAUGAAAUUUAUAUAGAAAUGCUUAAAUGCCUUGAGGCUGGGUUCCAAGUUACAGUUUUUCCAGAUGAUGAUGAUUAGAGAUAAAGCGAAAUUUGGUCCUCCACUUUUUCCAGAUAAAAUUUGUCCCCUUAUUUUUGUAAAUUUAGAGCACAUUAAUCCCUAUCACUUGGAUUAUUUUUGUGAUAUAAGUAUUAAAGGUCUAGAGAUGGUUUGGGAUGACAUCAACCAGUAUGAGGAUUGUUUGAAAUACCCAGUCUCUUUUCCUCCCGUCCUUCCCUCAUUCCUCCCUUUCUCUCUCCUGAUGUGGGGCCAAUUUCUGGCAACUCAUACAUCCUUCUUAUUUAGAAAUUAAACCUUUGCUUUUUGUAUAAUGAAUAUAAAACCAGUAAGGGCUACUUCUUUGUACAGUAGAAACUUUAAGUUUUAAAAGUGGUAUCUUUAGUGUGGGCUUUAAUUUUGUACAUAUUAAAUAGCUUUAGACAUUGGAUUGUUACAAAGCAAUUAAACUUUUAAAAGUGUUGAUUAAAGUAUGAGAAAACCAGAAAACCUCUUUGCUGUUGUAGCUUUGGUGACAAUAUUUUAGGUAACAAUAUUUUUCUUUAAAUAGCCCAAGCACUUAAAACUUAAGGAGCAAAAUUUCUUUUUCUUUUUAAGAAAUAUGUGAGUUACUCUUAUUUACAUACACUUUUUUUUUUUUUUUGCUUUUUAGGGCCAUAUGCCAGUCCCCAGGCUAGAGGUCAAAUCAGAGCUACAGCUUCCUGCCUACACCACAGCCACAGCAACAUGGGAACAUGGUAUCCAAGCCACAUCUGCGACCUAUACCACAGCUCACGGCAACAUGGGAUCCUUAACCCACUGAGCAAGGCCGGGGAUCGAACCCGAGUCCUCAUGGAUAUUAGUUGGAUUCGUUUCCACUGCACCACAAUGGGAACUCCCUGAUUGACUUUGAAAUGUUAAACCAACCUUAUUGUCCUGAGAUAAACCUUAUUUGGACAUGCUGUACUAUACUUUAUAAAUUAAGUGAUUUUUGCAUC